CCCAGACUUGCCCAAGUUCGGGUGCCCUAGCUGCCCCUUUGCAGCCGCUGGCCUACCCGGCCCGCGGGUGAGAAGGUUGCGACGGGAGGUAACUUACGACCUAUUUCUCCGUGGCGUUGGCUGUUUUCUGUUGUUGUUCCUGUUCUGAUCGUCUCUAAUGGCCUUAAAAAGAAAAGUCUAGAUCACAGUGGGGCUCUAGGAGGGCUAGUCGUUGGAUUUAUCCUAACCAUUGCAAAUUUCAGCUUUUUUACCUCUUUGCUGAUGUUUUUCUUGUCUUCUUCGAAACUCACUAAAUGGAAGGGAGAAGUGAAGAAGCGUCUAGAUUCAGAAUAUAAGGAAGGU
rnacentral:lncRNA from 1 species